CACCGGUUCCCGUACGAUCACCGAAGUUAAGCAGCAUCGGGCGUGGUGCAAACUUGGAUGGGUGACCGUUUGAGAACGCCACGUGCUGUUGGCU
rnacentral:rRNA from 1 species